GCCGCUCAGUCAGUAUGGUGGAUAUGACCAUUGGCUUGUAACCAAGUGAGUUCGGGUUCGAAUCCCGAGUAAGGCA